GGCGGCCAUGGCUCCGCCCCGGGGCCGCCCAGCGCCGGACCGGGGCAGGCCGCGGGGGGGCCGCGGGCGUCCCGGCGUCGCCGGGGCAAGCGCGGGCCUCGCUGCUCGUGACCGGGAAAAUCAGCAGGUUGUGACUUCAGCCCCUGAGCAACCGCGUGUUAAACAUUACCGUAGCUCAGGGUUUAUUGGGUCAGAGAGUUUGUUUUGGUUUGUUAUACAAUGAGAGUUUGGGGGUUUUUUAUUGUUUAUUUAUUACUGGUACCUCCAGCCUCAUUUGACAUCGACUGUGUAAUCCGUGAACCUGCUGCUGCCCCAGCUUGACCCCGCUGCCGACCGACUGCCGCGGGGGACUGGCAGCCCUGCCUGGCUGGGGAGGAAGCCGGAUGUGGGACGCGGGAUGCAGGACGUGGGACAUGGGACGCUGCCUCUGCCUCUGCUCCGGGCCCUCGAGGAGAGGGGGACAGAGCAGUCCCGGGAGGGGUGUGAGCGCCUGGGGGGGUUGCCAGCUUCCUCGCUCCAGGGAGGUGCAUGAUCGGUCUCUGCAUGAGUCAGGGCUUCUGCAGUUUUUUAGCUCUCCCCACAACCUUUUAUUUUCUGUAGGUGUUGGGGUGUGUGUCACCCCGCAACAUGUCCUGCAGCUCUUCAGCUCUAAACCUCUGCCUUUCAAUUUAUCCUGCACUGACUAUGUGAUGUCAAGGUUUUCUCUAAAAGUAUUAGGACCAGGACCGAGACUCCAGUGUCAUCCCAAGGUGGUGAAUAGCCUGUGUGUCAGGGCAUGGAAAAAACUGCCAGAAGAUUUUGAACUGCUCCUGUUUCAGGCAGAAAUGUUACGGGAAAGUCCAGAAUGUCUGAAAUAAGGUGACUGAGUUCAUCUGGUGUGGAAGAAGUUGCUUGAAUGCUAGUACCUGUGAACGUGGAAAUUCUCCCUGUCUGAAAACACUGAAAACAGGGACGUCAUUCUGAACCACUCUGAUGCAAAAUUAGCAGUACUUUUGACUGUAGUUUUUACAUCAUAUAGUACUUGUUACUGUUCUUAAGAAGUGGUAUGUUGAAAAUAUGUGCUUGUUUGAGUCUUUAGAAACUUGAAAGGUAUCAGGAUGCAAUCGUUUUCUCUGAAUCAGAUAGUCUUAGUAACACUGGUAUUCUUGCUGGCAUCUCAUCCUUGCACACCAAAAAACAGCAGCCAUUUCCAAAUGGUGUGGUUUAUUCAGUGUUUUUGUUUUUCAGUUACUCCCAAACCCAAACUCAUAUAUUUAGAAGUCUUCAUUGCUUAUUGCUGAUUAUCCCUCAUCUCUGAUUUAGAUUUUUGCAUUCAAAGCCCUUCAUUCUGGUGGCUUCUCAGUUUAAAUGACUUAGUGGCAAAGAAUUCUUCAGCUCUCUUCAAGCUCUCUUUAGGUGCAGUAUGUGGAUGGCCCUUUGUGCGUUCAUCUAGUCGAAACAAAGCUGCAUGGAAUUAUUAAACCUGAUGUGGCUCAUUUUCAGGAGUCUUCAUGACUGGGAAUUUAUUUUAUGCGUCUGCUUGUUUCUGUUUAUGAUUUAUUUGUUUUUCUUCCUAUUUUACUUUCUAUUACUUCUGUGUAUUAGACAUAUAGUAAUUCUUUUUCACUGUAAAUAUGUGAUAUUGGUAAAUUGUGUCAUCUGAACAUAUCGUCUGAUACAGACUUUGUACUGAACUGUUUUACAGCUCCAAUUUAGCACUGUCUUACUUUGCAAAACAGCUUUGAAAAAUAAAUAAUGAUAAUGCAGUCCUGCCA
ensembl:lncRNA